rnacentral:rRNA from 1 species
GAGUUUGAUCUUGGCUCAGAACGAACGCUGGCGGCAUGCCUAACACAUGCAAGUCGAACGAUGCCUUCGGGCAUAGUGGCGCACGGGUGCGUAACGCGUAGGAACCUACCUGGUAAUGGGGGAUAACUCGGGGAAACUCGAGCUAAUACCGCAUACGCUCUACGGAGGAAAGAGGGCCUCUAUUUAUAAGCUCUCGUUAUCAGAGGGGCCUGCGUUGGAUUAGCUAGUUGGUAGGGUAAAGGCCUACCAAGGCGACGAUCCAUAGCUGGUCUGAGAGGACGAUCAGCCACACUGGAACUGAGACACGGUCCAGACUCCUACGGGAGGCAGCAGUGGGGAAUCUUGGGCAAUGGGCGCAAGCCUGACCCAGCCAUGCCGCGUGUGCGAAGAAGGCC